rnacentral:lncRNA from 1 species
UGGGGAGUACAAUCUGGUUAUUGGUAUCCUUGCAUUUCAAGAUUUGCACGAGUUCUUUCAAGCACCAAGUGGAAGAAGCAUAGUCUUGAGAGAAAACUACAAUCGAAAGCCUUGACUCUCGAAUCGCUGUCAGGAGCUCAGAAAGGUGGUCGCCUUUUCUGAGCUUCUCGGCAUCAAUGAAGGCGUUGAUUGGUUUCUUAACCAGAGCGUUGUAGAGAUGGCUGACGAAGCCCCUGCGAGUGUCUUCCCCUCUGAAAUUGAUGAACACAUCGUAUUUGCAACCAAGGCCAGAAGAAGAUGAAGAAGAAGAAGCAGCCAUUAUUAAUCGAUCGCACCUGGUCAGCGACGAUCGAGCAGCUAAGACUAAGAGAAUUGUAAGUACAGAGAUACUCAAUAGAUCUACAAAUUGGAUCACCGGAAAUUAGUCUGAUCGAUACCAAGUCAAUGAGUCAAUGCAAAAGGGAAAAAGGGGAAAGUGAAAUUAUGCUUUAUGUUUUUUCACAUCUUCUUCGGGGAAAUUUCGGUGUGAAAGGAAUCUUAUCCUUUUGAUUUUUUAACCGAAGCAAAUGCGAAGAAAAGGGUCAAAGUGGAAAAUUGAAUAUACACUUGCCUAUCCAACAACCUCUUAAUUUAAUAUAUUUAAUUGAGAAAAGUAGUUUAGAGGAAUGAUGGUAUCUCCUUUUCUUCUCACUCAAUCUUCCGGCAUGCGAUUUAAUCAUUAUUAAAGCCAAGCUUAAUAAUAGGUCGUAUUAUUUAGGUCGUAUUGGAUUAUAAGUUUUUGUUGUGAACUUGUGAUACGAUAGUUGAAAAAUUAAAAAAAUUAUAAUUUAAAUGUACGCGGUGAAAUCUGUUAGAAUUUAGAUUCAAAAUUGAAAAUUUUAUUAACUUCGUUAAUUAUUAGCACACGAAGCUCACAAAUGAAAUAAAAUAAUAAAAUGUAAUCUUCACGUGCUAACAAUUAAUGGAGAGUUUCAUUUUAACCUAAAAUGUGUGGCUUACGUACUAAUAAUUAACGGAAUGUUGAUAAAAUUUUCAAUUUUAAGCAUAAAUCUUAAUAAACUUCAUCACAUGAGCUUAAAUCCUAAUUCAACUAUCUUCUCACUACCUUACCUUACCACUAAAAAAAUUAUUAAUCAAAUUAAGCUUAUUACUUACUUACAAAUACGUAACUAAAUCACUGAAAGCUAUCUCCGUUUCUUUGCUGGGUGGACAGCUGUCUCUUUGUCUUCUUUUGGCAGAUAGCUACUAGACUCCUAGGCCUCGUUUGUUUGACGUCCUUAGCUAGGACUGGACUAGCUAGGACUAAUAACCCUUGUUUGGUGCAAGCCGAGAUUGAGUUUAGUGGGAUUAAGUAGGACUCGUGCCGACUAAAUCCUUCGUUAGCUGGGCUUAGCGAGAGCCCCCGAAAAGGAGGGGAUUGCUAGUCCCGUUUCCUCGUCUUCCCUCUCACGCCGCGUCCUCGUGCUCGUCCUGCACGACUGCACCAUCUCUGACGACGACUCGUCUUCCUCCACCCACCCCCUUGCCGUCUGCAACUCCAAUCCCCACCCAUGGAAGAACAAGUGAAUUAAAGCAGCUAAUUUGCAAGAACAAGUGUAAUCAGAGCAAAAAAGUCAAUAAAAAUUCGAACGGAAGAGAGUAGAGAGAUGAGUGGAGCCUACCUCCUCCUCGUCUCGUAACACACGGACUGGAUCCAUCUUUGCUCCUUCCAAUCUCAGAAUUUUUUGUUUUUCACUUUGACGGACGACAAAUUCAAACACAAGCCAAGAUCAUAUUCAGUCAUGCAUUUCCUCAGAAGGCGGCACACUGCGAGAUGAACUUGAUUGGUGUUUUGUUUUUGGGAUUUGACCAAAAUCGUAAAGGCAGAUUUUCUUCAUCUGAGAACUGGAGAAAAAUUGGGAAAGUUUUGUUUGUUGGGAAGGGAAAGGAACGGUAGAGAUAAGGGAGAAAGAAUUAAAAUGAACAAAAGAAAAAUAUCUGAAUUUUAAAAAUAAUUUAGUCCGGUACUGCACCAAACGCUUCACUAAGUUAGUCAUGCUUAGUCUAGUCCAAGCCAGUCCAGCUUAGUCCCUGAACCUAGUCCAGUCCGAGAUAGUCCGGUGCAACAAACGCACCCCUAGUGGCCGGCCUAUUUUCCACAGCUGGUAUAGGACUCAGUUGCUAUACAAGAAGUGUUAUGUUGUAAUUCACUAUUGAUGGAAAUCCAACAGAAUCUUCUUCGACUUGUUGUGAGGAUUUGGGAUAUUUAUGAAUCGUAUCCAUUUAUCGUAUAUUGUGGGAUCAGUUUUUAUUAAAUAGUAUUUGUGUUUAAUUUUAAAUAAAAAAAUUUAAAAUAAAAUUUUACCGCACGAUAUACUAUGAACGAAUACAAUUCAUAGAUCUCCAAGAUCCUCACAAGGAGAAUCCAAAAAGGAUCCGGAUUCAAUGGAAAUAUUCGUAAAUGAUCCGGAUUCAAUGGAAAUAAGCUAAUUUUGAAUCAAAUAACAUUACUUUAUUUUGUAAGUAAAUUAAUUUUAAAUCAAACAACAUUAAUUUAUUAUGUAGCUAAUUAAUUUUGUAUGUGUCAUCAUAUAUAUUAGGCGCAUUUUAUUAUAGGUGAUUUUGUGGUAUUCAUCUUCAUUUAUAAGUAAAAAGUCUUAGGUUCGAUUCUCACAAAAGUGAAUUUGAACCAUAUUAUUGCUAGUCCAUUAUGAGGCCUAACCCACCCUCCUCCCCCUUAGUGUAGAUAGAUCGUUUGUUCAAAAAAAUAUAUAAUCAAAAUAGAACGUGAAGCGAAACAAUAGAUCAACAAUAUUUAUGUUAAUUAUAAAUAGGUCAACUAUGUAUGUGAUACUUAAAUUCAUUUAAAAUAAAAUAAAAUUACAAAAUCUGCCACUACAGUUGGCACGCACUUCAAUUAACAUUUUCUUUCUCAUAAUUUUUAUAUUUGGAAUGAGUCAUACGAAUCAAAUACUGCAAUGUAUUGUCUGUUUUCUGAUUCUAUUUUUUUACAUUUGGAUUCAGACACUGUGUUGUAGUGUCCAUUUAUUGGUUUCGUUUUUUCCAUCAGUCACACGCCUCCUACAUGUUCCUUUGUACAUUUGGAUUUAGACAAUGCAAUGCAGUGUCUGUUUCUUGGUUUUGGUUUUCCCUUUUGGAUUCAAACGCUGCAUUGCAAUGUAUGUUUCCUAGUCCUAUUUUUUUCAUCAUCCACACGUCUUCUACACUUCACACUUUCACGCGACUCCUGAUUUUUACAUUCAGAUUCAGACAUUGUAAUGCAGUGCUCAUUUCCUACCUCUGAUUUUUACAUUUAAAUCUAGGGUUAAACUCUGUUUACUACCCUCAUGUUUCGUGGUUUUCAACAUAUAGUACAUCAAGUUUUUUUCAUCCCAGUCAUACCUAAAGUGUUAAUUUUGGGACAGUCUCGUAUAUCUGUUAGUCAAACUGUUAGUUCUCCCGUUAAGUGAUGACAUAGCGCCCAUGUGGACAAUGACUAGGCCCCAAGUGUCAUUAAAAAAUAUUAAAAUAAUUAAUUAAAUAAAAGUUAUAAAAAAAAUCAUCCCUUCUCUCCCUUCUCCCCUCGCUGUCACACCCCGAUCCAGACAUACGUCCAAAGAUCGACACGUGACGUCACUAAAUGCCCGUAACUCAACGUACCCUGCCUUUUGGAUAUGUACAAAAUAUAAUUCCAGAUCCAGAUGCAUAAUAAUUUUGUGUAUACUUUAUGGCUGCAUCUAACCUCUUCGUUAGACUGCCUACGUACCCUCAAUAGGGAUCAAGUCAUUCGUAGUUCAACUUUUCACUACACUCGAAUAUUUAUCACAUAAAUUGCCAUAUUUCAACAUAAUGCACAAUUCAGAGCAUGCAACAUCUCAAGGAACAAUCGACGAGGUGCAAUAAUAAUCUAUAGCCAUAUUGGUCAGCGGUAUAUCAUAAUCAUAACAAUUACAUCCAACAAUCACACCAAAUAAUAACACAUACAACACACUGACAUGCAAGGCUAGAACGACGCAGUUCGGCUGAAGCCUACAUCUCUGAAGCUGAAAUCAAAUCCAAUGAACCAAGUCACCAAAGGGAUUCUGGACCACUCAACGGAAUCAAACUCAAGAUACGAUUCCGGACCAUCACUCAACGGAAUCGUGGAGUAGUAAGGAUUCCAAACCAUCACUCAACGGAACCGGGGAGUACCAUGCAUAUAGAACCACCCAAUGUAAUACAAGCUGGAUACGAUUCAGGAUCAUCACUUAACGGAACCGGGGAGUACCAUGCAUAUAGAACCACCCAUGGAAUACAAGCUGGACACGAUUCUGAACCAUCACUCAACGGAAUCACAGAAUAGAAGGGAUUUCGAACCAUCACUCAACGGAAUCCGAGUCAGGGUACGAUUCCGGACCAUCACUCAACAGAAUCGCAGAAUCGAAGGGAUUCCGGACCAUCACUCAACGAAAUCCGAAUCAGGAUACGAUUUCGGACCAUCACUCAAUGAAAUAGAGUGGAAGAUCAAGGGAUACAACAACGGCUUGCAGAAACAAUACAAGAACCAAGUACUUAAUUUAGAAUGGCUGAAUGAAAAUAGAUCAAUCCAAUCAUACAUUACAAACCCCAUGACAGUAGGUUAACGGUCCACUACUAGCCCUCACAUUUCAUCACAUCAAUCCAAUCAUACAUUACAAACCAUAUUUCCAAAACACAAGUAAAAUCAUACUUAAUGAAAAUAGAUCGAUGGCCAGAAAUAAAAAUAACACUUCAAUAGAAUUCACAUUCAAUAAACAUAGGUCUAUGGUGUGUGUGUGUGUGUGUGUGUUGUGUUUCACAUUUCAAUAGAAUUUCAUUUAUAACCUAUAUCUUAUUCACAUAUGAUAUUAAUAUAAGAAAUCAAGGUAAUAGCUAUAUCACAUAUAUUCAAGUCACUCUCAAACCAAUGUGGUCCCACUAGGUUUCACUUAGUUCCCCGUAGUACUAAUUUUAGUAUUUAGAACGUUUCGAGACAUGUUGACCAAAAGCCAAUUCUUGGUCGACAGUAGGAUCCACAACGCUACAAAAUUUGAUCCAGAAGAUCCGAACAUCAUAAUCAAGAUCCGUAACUUCCUAGGGUCCACAUUAUUCUCAAAGAACAACGUACUAAAAUCUCAUCGCAAUCCAACGGUCAGAUCUCCGCCCAUUGCUAGAAUUAGGUGGCGGUUAACAAUUAAUUUUACUAACUUAGAAAUCUAAUUCAUGAAGAUCCGUACAUCAGAUUCCCGAUCUGUAAGUUCUUAUGAUCCCAAAAUAUUACGUACUAUAACAUAUUAAAGUUUGGUGACGAUUCAACAGUCGGAUCGUCGAUUUCUAUUUUGACUUAUUCACGUAUCAAAAUGAAACUAAGUCCAAACAAUCAAAUUACGUCAUACGGAUAUCAAACAUGAACCCAGGGCAUCUAAUAGUGCUUAAAAAGACAUCAUUGGCCCACAGGCCACGCGCCGCCGUGGGUGGCGGUCGGCCACCCCAACUAAUCGAAAAAUUCAACUAUUUUAAAAAUUCUCAAAAAAUUACAAAAUUGAAGAUCUCAAAGAGUAGAAUAAACUUUAUAUCUAUGGCCAAGUCCAAUUUGGCCUAGAAAGUCCCCAAUGUUGUGAAAACCGUACGGAAACCUUAGAAUGGGUGUGUUCGAUUUAACCUCCAAACUUGCUCUGACGCCUCCACCACUGCUUGGGAUUUGUUCAUGGGUUAUAGGGGAGUGCUUUGGUGGUAGUAGUUGAAGAGAAACAUUUCACAAUUGAUGGAUUUUGAGCAAUGGUUCCCGCGUCACCCAUGGUGCUUGUUCCCCAAAUUCCAAGACUAAUUCCACUCCAAUUUUGGGUGGAAUAGGUAGAAGGAAUGAUGAGAGAUGACUUGAAGGGGGAUGACACUGGGCUGGAUCUAUCAGCAGCGAAUUCCCCAUACAAAUAGAGGCGCCUAUCAAAAAGAUACUCCGAAGACUUCGAGAUUGAGGUAUCAUUAGCCGAAGAAGGCCUUGGCCAAUCCACGUGGCCUGCUUGACGAACGUCAGCGACAGAGACAUCAGGUGGUGGGGGACCUUCAUCUCGCCGGAAAUUGGCCGGGAGACCAUGAAUCCCGCCGAUUUGUGUCUCACGGGUCAAAAGACCCGUUUUCCACCCCCCACCUUUUUUUUCUUUUUUCCUUUGUCUCGCCACUCCUGUGGCUUUCUUUCAUUUUCAUUUUUUUUAGCAACAACUUCAAACGUCCGUAACUAUACCGUUAUAAUCCGGACUCGCAAACGGCUUUCGCCUAUGCAUUCGUGAUCUCGAUAUCUAUUCAACAAUAUAAAUUGUGACCUCGAAUGGUCUACGGAUUUUAAAUAAUUAAUUUCCCGAAAAAUAAUAUAAAAUCUCUAUAAUACCAAUAUGUAGAUUAUAAUAAUGAAAUCCAAGAAUGAGAUUUCACACUCGUCCCCAACCCAGAAGAAGAAGAAGAAAAAAAAAAAAAACCGAAUCUGCAACCCAGAAGAAGAUGAAGAAGACAUGUUUUGAAAAGUAAACUUUAAUGCAGGAAAUCAAUACUACAAAGGAAGUAGCUGAGCUAUAAAUACAGAGGAAUGUUUGAACUACAAAGGGAGUAUGUGAAGAGUAGGAUGCAAAGCUUUUUAGAAGUCUUUUUUAAUAUGUUGAGUUAAGUGUCUUUUUUUUUCAACCUUUUUGCUGCCUUUUAUAGAACCGCCAUUUUCUUCUAGAGUAAGCCUUUCCUCCUCGAUUCAUUCUCUCUGGUGCAAGCAGCUGAUAUGAUUUGUUGUCAAAGGAUGAGUUCCCACUUGUAUACUUGAGCUUUUGAUCCCCUUGAAACGUAUCAUCGUUGGCGCAUUCAUCAUAGAAGCUCCAGCUUCAUACUAUCAUAAACACCGUACAUUUGAUAUUUAUUACAAAAUUUUCCUUUCUUCUUUUGCUUUUUCUAAUAAAAAAAUUAAGGUUGAACACAACAGGCUUUGUGGUUCAAAAAUCUAAUGGAAUAUUUGAUAGAAGGGUUGGAUUGUUAGCUUUGGGCUAAUGGAGAGUUGACAAAAAUAUUAAUUUUUGGCUUGAAUCCUAACAAACUUCACCACAAGGAUUUAAAUCCGAUUUUUUUUUUUCACCAUAGGGGUAAUCUUCUUAUUAUCCUAUCACCACGGGGACCAUUGAUCCAAUUUAGCCACUAAAUCAUAUUGCAUCAACUGAACAAAUAUAUUUUUUGUAUUGACGAAGAUAGAUAUAACCGUUAAUCGAUGGAAAAUUCGUUAUUCGGUGGGUAUAAUUAUGGAUAAUUACUGAUGAUUAAUUUACGUUUAUGGAGUGGUUAUUUUCAUGGUUAUUGGGAUGGAUAUAUCAUUUCCGUCCCAAACCAAACCGUUGUCAUCCCUAUAUUUGUUUAUGAGAAAAGUUAAUGAGACUUUCUCAAAAUGAGACUCUCCAUAAACGAUCUAUGCUAACUCAUGUUUUUUGUACAAUACUUUAUAAUGUUGGCAUGAAAAUUAUGCCAAAAACAUUUGAUGGUGGAGAAUCCAUAAAUAGUACUACUUAUGAAAGAGUCUCCUUAACAUUUUUCAUUUGUAUAUAGGCUAAAUAGCCAAAAUGGUCCUUGAGAUUUGCAUAACUCAUCACUUUGGUCCCUAACAUUUCAAAUCGAUAAAAUUGGUCCCUGAGAUUGUCCACCAUCCAUCAUUUUGGUCAUUCCAUUAAAAACUCCGUUAAGUGUCUCGGAACUCUUGGCCGGAAGUUUGGACAAUUUUCAAAGCUUCGUAACUCAAUCGUUUCUUAACCAAAUUCGACCCAUAAUAUAUGAAAAUGAAGAUAGAAAAGUGUAGAAUAAGAUUAUACUUAUUUAUAAGCCCAAUGGCUACCAGAGAUAGCCGGAAAAUAGUCUCAAAUUUGACUGGUCUGAAGGAAAACUGGAAAACUCGCCGGAAACUAGGUAAACUUUAAACGUUCAUAACUUUUUCAAUACGCAACGAAAUCAAGUGAUUUAAAAAAAAAAUCAUACUUCUCAACGAGAAGAAGAGAAUGAUAUCUUUUUCGAUGGCUAAUGCACCGUGGUUUGGCUGGAAAAUGGCUCAAAAGUGGCUGUCUUAGUCUCAAGUUAGCCACUUUCGAGCCAUUUUUCGGCCAAACCACGGCGAUUUAGCUGUCUACAAAGGUACCAUUCUCUUCAUCUCAUCAAGAAGUAUGAUUUUCGUUUUUGAAUCACUUGAUUUCGUUGAGUAUUGAAGAAGUUAUGAACGUUUAAAGUUGACCUAGUUUCCUGCGAUUUUUCCAGUUUUCCCUCGGACCAGUCAACUUUGAGGCUAUUUUCUGGCCAUCUCCAGCAUCUAUUGGGCUUCCAAAUAGGUAUAAUCUUAUUCUACACUUUCCUAUCUUCAUUUUGAUAUAUAUGGGUCGAAUUUGGUUAAGAAACAAUUGAGUUACGAAGGUUUGAAAAUUUCUCAAACUUCAGGCCAAGAGUUCCAGGACACUUGUCAGAGUUUUUAACGGAAUGAUCAAAAUGAUGGAUGAUGGACAAUCUUAGGGACCACUUUUAUCGAUUUGGGAUGUUAGGGACCAAAGUGAUAAGUUAUGCAAAUCUUAGAGACCAUUUUGGCUAUUUAGCCUUUGUAUAUAUGAUGGGUAAUAUUAGGGAGAGUAAAUUUAGAUACAAAACUAGCAAAUUAAAUGACAAUAAAAUGAGCAUGUUUAUCAGCGCUUAAGUAAUAAAUUAAUCAUCAACUUUCACGUUCCUGUUGUAAACAUUCCUAGUUUAAGUAUGAUUGUGUAAAUCCUAGAUAAGAUUUGAUUCUAGUUAUCCUUUCCUAUUACAACUUGUAUUACUUGGAGGAGAAGAAAUAUCUUCUCUACCUUUACUACUAUAAAUAAAGGCACAAUGUAGGAGGGAUAACAACACAUACAUUCCCCUACAAUUCUACAAACACACAUCUCUCUCAUCUCUCUCUCUGCCGCCGGCUCUAGUCUCUCUGUCAGAUAAAAUAGAUCACAACACAUUAUCAGCACGCUCCUACCGCUGCACUUAGGAAUCUGACGUUGGAGAUUUUUUUUUCUGCAUCAAACCAGUUCAUCCAUAUCAUCACGCAAUCAGGUUCUUUCCAAACAACGGUUUUUAACUCGAUAUUUUGCAAGCCCUGAUAGCAUGAACAUUCACCAUGAUGCAUGACCCAACUUUAUGUUUUACGUAUUUUAGAUUCUACAUAAAUUGUGUAUGCUUCAUAACCAAAAUUGCUACAAUUAUGUGAAUUUGAUAUUUGCCAUGAAUUGAAUCUUACAUAUGUACAUGCAUUGAAACUAUUAUUUGCAUAUGGAUCAACGUAAAUAUGUGAUUCAUUAAAUUUAUGCAUAUAAUAUAAUUGAAUUGAAAAAAAAAUAUUUUUUUUGCGAUUUGGGAAUUAGGGUUCUUCGAACCCGUGCACUUGCACCAUGCAAGCUGCAAGCCACCAGGCCAGCAGCUUGCGAUGGCCCAGCUUGGUUUCCUCACCAGGCCUGCAGCCUGCAUCAAGUCCCCACGAGGGCUCCAACCCAGAAACCCGACGUCGUUUAUGGCGUCUCUCCCAUUGUAGGAUGGCUUGCAGCCCAUCCUCACACCUCGGGUUAACUUGUCUAACAGCCUGAAGCUCGUCCUUGACAUCGAUUGACCGAGAUUCAAUUGAAUCUCAUCGGUUUUUAAAAAAAAAACCCAAUUCGAAAUUUCUAGGGUUUGAUUGCAACAAUUGAGAUUUUAAUUUCUCCAUGUUGUAAUCAUAGUCGAAAACACCCCAGAAGGGUACCUCCGAGUCUUCCCGUCCAAGUUUUGGCCACCUGCAGUGGUGGCGCCGAUCAUCUUCUCCGAUGGAAUCACCUAACCUCGCUAGGAUUUCUUGGAUCCAGCCCGAUCCCAAAUUUUUUGGGCCUGGCUUCGACUCAGGCUGAAAAAUAAUAAAUUUUUUUCUUUUGGGCUCGCCAUUGCAAGCCCAGUUCGACCCCCUCAUUUUUUCAGCCUAGCGUUACAUCACACCAGCCCAAAUGGGCUCUGGUGUUCUCCCAUGCCCCAUACUGCAGCAGAACCCAGCCCGUGUGGCUGUUGUGCUUUCCCUGCAUCGUGAUACACACGAUUGAGGCAUUCUUUGGGCCUUUGCCACCUGGGCUUACCUGAAGCAGCCCGUGAGUGAAAAAAAAAAAAAAAAAGAGAAAUUUUUUUUAGGGCUGCACACAGCAGCCCAUUCCCCUCUUCUCACCCCGUGGGCAUGCAACCUACACCCGAGGGUCCUCGGCCUAUAUUUUUAGACCCCGAGAUUUUAUUAUUUAAUACUUUUAAAUAAUAUGGGUUUUUAUAUUUUCACCCACACUUUAAUUUGGCCCCGAAGACCAAAAAUAAAUUAAUUCACUUAUCAUUAUACAAUAUUUCUGCAUAUAUUCUUUGCAUAUUUGUUUGCAUAUAUAUUUGUGUUUGCCUGCAGGAAUAUAUGAACCUAAAGUUCAUAAUUACUUUGAAACCCGAAGUUUCUUCUAAACAUGCCUUGUUUGAAAACCUGAAGUUUUCACUUAAACAUAUCACCCAUGAAACCCGAAGUUUUUCAUGCGAAAUUAUUAGUUUUUGGAUAUUAAGUUUUUAAUCCUUGAAUAAAUGAAAUUAUUUUGAAUUGAUACUUGUUUUUAUAAACUUUUAUGCAUGUGACCGAUUCAAAUUAAUUUUUCAUUCUAGGUAUGACUAGUGGGAAAGUUAGUUGUCUGGCAGAUAGUGCAACCACGCAUACUGUUUUGCGUGAACGCAUCUAUUUCACUAACUUCGUACCUAAGAAUGCACCUCUGACAACCCUCUCAGGCCCAUCCAACCUGAUCGAAGGAUACGGUAAGGCACGUAUAAUGUUGUCCAAUGGUACAAUCUUGACCAUUGCUGAGGCACUCUAUUCUCCACGUUCCGGAAGAACGUUACUAAGUUUCAAGGACAUUAGAGAUAACAAUUACCACGCUGAAACCCACGUAGAAAACGGAGUUGAAUUUAUGUGCGUAACUUCCUACGAAUAUGGCCAGAAGCGUAUUCUAGAGAAGAUGGAGCGUAACCCGAGUGGUCUGUAUACUACGACCAUACGCCCCAUAGAAUGCCACUAUGUGGCCGGCCCUACCACAGGGACUGCGCACGAAAUUACACUUUGGCAUGAUCGUUUGGGACAUCCUGGACGAAUAGCGAUGCGCCGUAUCCUCAAAACUUCACACGGGCAUCCACUAACCCGAAGCUUAGGUUCGAUCCAUGAAAUUGCAUGUCAAACAUGUUCUAUAGGAAAGCUUAUUACUAAGCCUUCUUAUGACAAGAUUCGUUCGAAUCCUCCCAUUUUUCUACAACGGAUUCAGGGGGACAUUUGUGGACCGAUUCAACCUCCUUGCGGACCAUUUAGAUAUUUUAUGGUUUUGGUUGACGCUUCUACACGUUGGUCACACGUGUGCUUGUUGUCCACAAGGAACGCUGCAUUCUCCAAACUGUUGGCUCAGGUUAUCAAGCUCAGGGCUCACCACUCUGAUUAUCCGAUCAAAUCUAUUCGAUUGGAUAAUGCUGGAGAAUUCAUAUCUAAAACUUUUGAUGACUAUUGCUUGUCGGUUGGGGUUAACGUUGAACAUCCUGUACCCCAUGUUCACACCCAGAACGGCCUGGCAGAGGCUUUCAUUAAGCGUUUACAAAUGAUUGCUCGAUCGUUGGUCAUACAUACCAAGCUCCCGAUCGCUGCUUGGGGCCAUGCAAUAUUGCACGCAGCAAAGUUGGUCCGCCUGAGGCCUGCUGUGACACAACCAUUUAGUGCCCUUCAGUUGGUCACCGGAUGCGAACCCGACAUAUCGCAUCUGCGCGUUUUUGGUUGUGCGGUCUAUGUGCCGAUCUCGCCGCCCUUACGUACAAAAAUGGGGCCUCAGCGAAGGAUGGGAAUCUAUGUCGGAUAUGAUUCUCCUUCGAUUAUUCGUUACUUAGAACCUUUGACAGGCGAUCUGUUUACCGCUCGUUUCGCGGAUUGUCACUUCUAUGAGACAGUCUUCCCGUCGUUAGGGGGAGAUAAAAACGUCAACGUUCCUAAUGAACGACGUGAAUUAUCAUGGACGACUCCCACUUUGUCUCAUUUAGAUCCCCGCACCGCUCAGUCUGAAGCUGAAGUGCAGCGCAUAUUAGAUCUCCAGAGCAUAGCUCAGAGCAUGCCAGAUGCUUUCACCGAUCUAGCGCGCGUGACAAGAUCACAUAUUCCAGCUGCGAAUACGCCUGCAAAGAUAGAUGUACCAAAUGUACGACGGACUACUCUCCUGGAAGCCCGGGACGCAAAUUCUGGUGAUCCACGUACAUUAACGGCUAGCCAAUCAUCUGCCCCUACACAAAAGCGUGGCAGACCCCUUGGUUCAAAUGAUUCACACCCCCGGAAGAGGAAAACCACGGCACAAGGUCCUGAAGAGCCUACCGUGAAUCCGACUAUCGCUUACUCAUUUUACCCAACUCAUGAGGAAAUUCUAGAUUAUGGAAGCGUCCUUGAAGAGACGAAUCCUCCUCCCGAGAAUCGUGAGAUUUCGGUCUAUUAUGCUAGUUUAGAUGAUGUGUGGCGUAGAAAUGAGAUGAUUGUCGACGAUGCAUUAGCAUUUGCAGUAGCUACUGAGAUCAUGUUGAGCGAUGACAUUGAACCGCGUUCCGUUGAUGAAUGUCGACGUAGAGCUGAUUGGUCAAACUGGAAACAAGCAAUCCAAGUCGAACUUGAUUCACUUGCGAAACGUAAGGUGUUUGGACCUGUAGUUCCUACUCCUCCACAUGUGAAGCUCGUUGGCUACAAAUGGGUUUUCGUUCGGAAGCGUAAUGAGAAGAACGAAAUUAUGCGUUACAAAGCUCGUCUUGUAGCACAAGGUUUCUCACAACGUCCCGGGAUUGACUAUGACGAAACUUACUCACCCGUUAUUGAUGUGAUUACUUUUCGAUACCUUAUCAGUUUGGUAGUUUCCGAAAAACUAGAUAUGCAGCUAAUGGACGUAGUAACCGCGUAUCUCUAUGGGGAUCUUAAUAUGGAAAUUUAUAUGAAAGUUCCCGAAGGACUUACAUUGACUGGUUCAAAUAUUUCCAAACCCCGGAACACGCUCUCAAUUCGGCUGAGGCGUUCACUAUACGGUUUGAAAUAAUCCGGAAGAAUGUGGUAUAACCGUUUGAGUGAGUAUUUGACUAGUCAGGGAUAUGUGAACAAUGAACUAUGCCCUUGUGAGUUCAUUAAGAAGUCACAUUCCGGAUUUAUGAUUGUUGCAGUAUAUGUCGAUGACAUGAAUCUCAUCGGAACUCCUGAAGAGCUCGCGAGAACUGCUUCGCACCUGAAGUCGGAAUUUGAGAUGAAAGAUCUAGGAAAGACUUGAUACUGUCUCGGUCUCGAGAUAGAGCAUUGUUCGGAUGGAAUCUUAGUACAUCAAUCGAACUACACCCAGAAGAUGUUACGCCGUUUUAAUGAGGAUAAAGCGAAGUCUUCGAGUACUCCUAUGGUCGUUGAUGCGUAAAAUAAGUUAACACACAAAAUUAAACCCUCUUUUUGACAAUUGUAGUAUAGAUGUAAGUAGGGUAUCGUUCUAGGCCGGGGAUUAGGAGGGAUUGCUAAUCUAUUAAAUUAACUUAAAAAUAUUAAAUAAGACUCAAGGACACAAAACUAGGCUAAAAACUCUAAUAACUCGAAACACACUUAAAAUGACUCAAAAUAAUGAAAACAAUUAAAUUAAAUACUAGGAACUGAAAUGGACGGAAAUUAAAUUAAAAGACUAACAAUAAAGAAAACUAAAUAAAUAAUAUAAUUUAAUAAUGGAUGGGUGUUUGGUUUUGAUGAAAAGUAAAUUAAACUUAAUUAAAUUACAGAAUUGACAAAAACAUGAAAUUAAGGUGAAAUGAUAAAUGACGGACUAGCUAGAGGGUUCUUCUCCACACAUGACACAUAUGCAACCUAAAUUGAUUUUCAGUUGUUCUUUCAAUAAAUUGUGAAUCUCAAUACUCCAGAUUAACCGUGAAUAGCACUUUUUUAAUCUUCAAGUUUUCCUUAAGUUAUUGAAUUGGACGGAAAAAACGCAUACAACAAUUCAAAACAUUCUUCAAAAGUCCCCUACGUGAAAAGCACAAUAGCGAUACAAUCAAAGAUCAUUAAACUUUGUGAAAACUAUAAGCAUUGACGAGGCAUUCGUAACUAUGAAAAGCAUGAUACUCUUGCCAAGAAUUUACUUAACGUGAUUGUGACUAGCAACCUUUACUACUUGUGAAAAUAAGUUCAUAACGAUUAGGUGAAAUUCACUUAUAUUCUAGCAUCAAAUUCAUGCAUGUAAAUUAAGCGUACACUCUCAACCAACAUACACAAAUCAGUUUUUAUACGAACGGAUAAGUAAAUUGAAAUCACAACUUAUGAAAUCACAACCGAAGGUAAUCAAUUCAUAUUACAAAUAUAUUCAUGGUUUCGAAUUAACCUCUAGCCAAAAUAAAAUUAAUUACACAUUAUUAAAAUAAAAAUAAAAUAGGAGUUUGGAAAGAUUAAACCGAAAGAAAGGAUCUGCUGCUUGGACUCUGAACUGCAUUUUCAUGCUGACCUCCUGUCCUCCUCGCCACUGACUUCCCUUCUCUCCGCAGCUUCACGCUGCCCAAAGGGCAGCCCUCUGCCUUCCACCAAUUCCCCCCCUCCUUCUCUCUUCUGCCAAUCCCAUCUAUAUCCUCAUGCUCCUGACCUCCUCCUUAUUUCUUUUUUUUCUAUUUUAUUUUUUUUUGUUGCUGUCCACCACAUUCUCUGCGCCUACUGCGCUCCCAGCUGUCUCUCCUGCUUUCCACUGACUUUUCCCGCUCCCACUUCUCUCUAUCCUCUUUCUGCUGCCGCAAGGCAGCUGUCUGCUUGCUGCUUCUCUCUCCCUUUUUCUGCUUGUUUAUAUUUUUUUUUUUCUUCUUUUCCUUUUCCUUCUUUUCCUUUUCCUUUCUUUUUCUUUUCUUUCUUUUUCUUUUCUUCUUUGCCGUUCCUUUCUUCUUCUACAAAACAUGAAUCAUGAUGAUGUUUCAAACAUCAUCAUGACUUGUUAUUAUUAUUAUAUAUUUAUUUAUUUUUAAUUUUAUUUAAAAGCUGAUCUACACAGACAGUUUUGACGAAUUUAUUACAUAAAAUUUCACUUGUUCUAUUUUUAUUUUCUUUGCAUAACAAAUCCUAUAAACACAAAAAUAACGUAAAUAGCUCAAAAAUAUAAGGAACUAACUAAGAAAAGACGAGUGAAUUCGAAGUAAAAAUAUAUAUAAAUAUCAUCCGAUCAAAUACCCCCACACUUAACUUUUGCUAGUCCUCGAGCAAAACAAAGAAAACUAGAACAAGAAGUAACAAGAAAAACAUUAGCUUCCCCCUAUGUGACCCUCAUAGAAUUUCAUUCGAGAAAACAAAUCAUCAAGAACCAUAGCUAGCAUCAAGGAAAUAAUCCAAGUUCAUCUUCCUUAUUCAAAUAUUAGCAGUAAUCUUUAAAUCAUCCUUGAAGUGUAGUGUGUGAGAUAGCCAUGCUAAUGCAAUUUCAAGUUUUUAUUUUUAAAAUCAUCAUAUGCAAACUAGCGACCUUCUCACGGGAUAUGCACUCAAUCACACAUGUGUUUAGUUUUAAUGUGUUUCGCUCAAAGAAUCAAAUGUGAAAUUUCUACCAUAAGCUUGCAUAAAGAUCACUUCUCCACAGUCAUAAUUGCAAAACUUAAAUCAAGAGGACUUUUAUUGGAUGUAAUGAGGCUUAGGGAUAGGGUUAUUGAAAUGAAAGAAUAGGAAAACACAAGUUCCAAGCUAUAUUGCAAGCAAUUCUUUUGUUUAGAUUUAUAAGAACUCAAUUUUUUCAGCGAUUCUUCUAGCACCUCCAACCAUACCCUUAAACUGAAACUUUAAAAACUUUUUAUUUUCUUUGUAUACAAUCUUUCUUUUUCUUUUCUUUUUUUCUUCUUUUUUUUUAUUUUUUUUUAUUUUUAUUUUUUUUAUACAAACAUGAAAUACCCCCACACUUAUUCUUUUGCCAAACACCUUCAAAGUACUUCACAAACAUUUCUCAUAAGACAAUCUCACAUUGCUCACUUGGAAAGGGUAAGGAAAAAAUGUUUCAGGCAUAAGGGUAGACAUAUCUGGUGAUAAGAAAUAAAAGGCUCAACAUACACGGCUCAAAUUGGCAAUCUAAUGAUAUCAUUUUCUUUGGGAAACAUAGUUAUUUGGGCCAUAGUGGUAAACCUAAUGCCUCUAUCAUUUCCAAGUUCAUGCAAUCAAUGACAAACAUUUCGAAAGAUCGUUACGCAAGUUCUAGAGAUGUAUCUCACAUAAGUUCAUCACACAUGAAAGAAUAGGAGUGUAUGAAAAAUGCACACUUUCAAUAGGCUCAAAAACUCACAUAGGAUGUAUAUGGUCACUAAAUUCACAUAUGAAGCUUUAAGUCAUACUUUAGUUUCACAUUAACAAGGCUAUGUGCAUUUGGUUUUUCAAAGAUGGUCAAACAUGUACAAAACUAACAAGAGAAUUAGGAAUUUCACCAAAACACAUGUUAACUAAGUUCUUGAUGAUCAUGGUUCAAAUUUUUGAUCCAAUUAUAUCAUUGGGUCGGGAAACUAACAAAAAUCUGAUUCAGAACAAUAAGGGAAACAAGACAAUAUUUUUUGGAUUUUUAAAUUUUUCGAUUUUUUUUUUUUUUUUUUUUUUUUUUUUUAAGAAAACAAAAACUAACAACACAGAAACAAAUGAAAUUCUAGAGAUUUCUACCCCCACACUUAAACUUGACAUUGUCCCCAAUGUCAGAAAACACUAUAACGCAAAUAAAAAUAAAAUAAAUAAAUAAAUAAUAAGAAACAAAAUAAAAACAAUGGGACUGAAAACUUCCCUAAUUUGCAGUAAAAUCAAGCGAUGACCCCCAAGCUAAAAUUCUGCAAUCAACUUCAAGGGUGGAAAUAACCAAAAGUUUCCUGCAAAGAAAAGAAAUAAUACAGUUAAGUACGCAAGAAAAUUAAUUAAAAAAAAAAAAAUUGCAAACGAAAAAUUGAAAAUUACGAUAAAAAGAUAAUGAAUAAAACUAAUAAGUAAUCAUUGGUCGUGCUUGUUGACUUUCCACAGCUUUCCUCUUGAACAGGGUGACACUUAGCUUUUUUACUAUUUGAUGAUAUUGUACGGCGGAGCUUUGCUCUUUGGGAAUGUUGCAGUUCCUUAUUUGUUCUCCAAGCAGAUGUGGCAGCUUCUCUAGUUCCUCAGUUCGGACUCCUUCCGCUGGGAUGAUUGUGCAAGCUGCAUUCUUCUCUGCUUGUUUCUUCUGCACAACGGGCAGGCACGAGGGAAAGGUGUUGGUCCUUAUUUCUUUCUUCAAUCUUUCCAAGUGCCCACCUCUUGCUUUCUUUCUCCUUGUCCCUAGCUGAAUUGUCUCCACAUGCUUCGAGGUAUCAUUUUCACUUUCCUUACUGUCCCCCAGGCAGAUGUGGUAGACGAAGAGAAAGCAUAAAAUGAUGAAGAUGAGUACUCGAGAGCAAGGCUAGGUAAGCAAUCAGGAAAGGGUUCCAGGCAGUUGGCUCCAGAUUGGAAGAUUGAUACCAAAUGCUGGCUGAUUGCUCUCUUUCUCCUUGUCGGAAAACAAAGACAAGGAGAAGGACAUGGAGAAAGCAUGAUAUGAGAUACUCUUGCUUUCAACCUUUAUGAUAUGAAAUACUUUUGCUUUGAAUGGGUUGUUCGCAGGAGUAUCCCAAGGAAUGAGGAACACAGAGUGACUCGAGAGGAUUCUUUGGGAAUGCAUUUUCGGAGAUGAAGAGGUGUUGAGAGGGUGUGCUGAGAGAGUGUGCUUUUGCUGUGGAAGGCGAAGGUAGAAACUUAUAGGACUUGUCUUCACAACCGGAACUGUUCUCUCACUUAGUGUCGGCAGCCGGUGGAUGGGUGAAGAAUACAAAUUACGCGCUUUCUGACAAAGCUGCCCGUAAUUUCCGCAAAGCUGCCAGUUGCAUGUGACAAGUGCUGACUAGGCUGAGAGAGACAGAUGGUUGGAAUCGGCACUUCGACAGACUGCCCGUGAUUUUCGCAGAGCUGAGUUUGCGUGUGACGGGUGACAACACGUCUGGACGAAUUGAUCUUGCGAAAUCCGGGGUUCGGCUCGUGGUUUCUGAGCAAGCCCAACUUUUAAGAAAUGAACGCCUCUUUUGAGAAAAGAAUCCGGCUUUUGAGAACGGAAACUCCUCUUUUGAGAAAAGAAUCCGGCUUUUGAGAAAGGAGCCCCGACUCUUCGAUUUGCGAGAUGACGCUUCUCUGAGGAGCGCCUCUUUGAUUUCUUCUUUUUAUAGAGGCGUUAAUUUUGUUCCACAACACACUUGAGUACCCUCCUGUAAACACUCCCAUCUUGCACUUGUUUAAUCUUGAUCAGUCCAACUCUCUUCUUUCUUUACCACCUCUGAAAAAUGUCUGGCCCUUCUGAUCGUCGUUUUGACUUGAACAUUGGUGAAGAGGCAGCUCCGCCUUCACCAGACAACAUAUGGCGGCCAUCCUUCAUAUCCCCUACCGGUCCCCUUACCGUGGGGGAUUCGAUGAUGAAAAAUGACAUGACCGCUGCGGUGGUGGCCCGAAACCUUGUCACUCCCAGAGAUAACAGACUGCUCGCAAGGCGGUCUGAUGAAUUGGCGGUCAAGGAGUCUCUGGCUCUCAGUGUGCAGUGUGCGGGUUCCGUAUCCAACAUGGCCCAACGCCUAUAUGCCCGAACCCGUCACGUUGAAUCCUUGGUGGCUGAAAUACAGAGUCUCAAGUAAGAGAUUAAAGGGCUCAAGCAUGAGAAUAAGGAAUUGCACAAGCUCGCACACAGCUAUGCCACCAGCAUGAAGAGGAAGAUUGACCAGAUGCAGGACACCGAUGGUCAAAUUUUACUUGAUCAUCGGAGGUUUGUGGGUUUGUUCCAACAACAUCUGCCUUCGUCUUCUGGAGCGGCACCGCGUAGUGAAGCUCCAACUGAUCAACCUAUGCCGCCUCCUCCUUCUGUGGCCCCGCCGACUGCUGAAGCCCCGCCCGACCAAUGAAUACUAUUAGUUUACAUCAUUGUAAAAUAUUUGUACUUUUUUUUUUUUAUUUUUUUAUUUUUUUAUAAAUGUAAAUUAAUGUAAAGAGACUUUGGUUAACCUUCCCACACUUAAACUAAAUAACACAAACUCACAGAAAUCAAACAAAUAACACAACUAACUAAACAAGACAAAAUGAAAGCAUUAAAGAUAAGGGUGUAAAAAUGCAAAUCUGAUUGGGUUAGCGAUUCCAAAGUCUCCCUUCGUUGAAUGCUUGGGUUGCCUCCCAAGAAGCGCUUGAUUUAACGUCUUUAGCCGGACGCAUCUUUCCUUUAAAUUUCCCUCGGCUCCAUUUGAACCUAAAAUCAAAGAAAGAAAAAUAAAUCAAAUAUCAAAAGUAAAAUACACAAACACCAAUAUAAACAUAAACAAAAACAAAAAUAAAAGGAUUAGCAAAGUUGCUAAUCCCCGGCAACGGCGCCAAAAUUUGAUGCGUAAAAUAAGUUAACACACAAAAUUAAACCCUCUUUUUGACAAUUGUAGUAUAGAUGUAAGUAGGGUAUCGUUCUAGGCCGGGGAUUAGGAGGGAUUGCUAAUCUAUUAAAUUAACUUAAAAAUAUUAAAUAAGACUCAAGGACACAAAACUAGGCUAAAAACUCUAAUAACUCGAAACACACUUAAAAUGACUCAAAAUAAUGAAAACAAUUAAAUUAAACACUAGGAACUGAAAUGGACGGAAAUUAAAUUAAAAGACUAACAAUAAAGAAAACUAAAUAAAUAAUAUAAUUUAAUAAUGGAUGGGUGUUUGGUUUUGAUGAAAAGUAAAUUAAACUUAAUUAAAUUACAGAAUUGACAAAAACAUGAAAUUAAGGUGAAAUGAUAAAUGACGGACUAGCUAGAGGGUUCUUCUCCACACAUGACACAUAUGCAACCUAAAUUGAUUUUCAGUUGUUCUUUCAAUAAAUUGUGAAUCUCAAUACUCCAGAUUAACCGUGAAUAGCACUUUUUUAAUCUUCAAGUUUUCCUUAAGUUAUUGAAUUGGACGGAAAAACGCAUACAACAAUUCAAAACAUUCUUCAAAAGUCCCCUACGUGAAAAAGCACAAUAGCGAUACAAUCAAAGAUCAUUAAACUUUGUGAAAACUAUAAGCAUUGACGAGGCAUUCGUAACUAUGAAAAAGCAUGAUACUCUUGCCAAGAAUUUACUUAACGUGAUUGUGACUAGCAACCUUUACUACUUGUGAAAAUAAGUUCAUAACGAUUAGGUGAAAUUCACUUAUAUUCUAGCAUCAAAUUCAUGCAUGUAAAUUAAGCGUGCACUCUCAACCAACAUACACAAAUCAGUUUUUAUACGAACGGAUAAGUAAAUUGAAAUCACAACUUAUGAAAUCACAACCGAAGGUAAUCAAUUCAUAUUACAAAUAUAUUCAUGGUUUCGAAUUAACCUCUAGCCAAAAUAAAAUUAAUUACACAUUAUUAAAAUAAAAAUAAAAUAUGAGUUUGGAAAGAUUAAACCGAAAGAAAGGAUCUGCUGCUUGGACUCUGAACUGCAUUUUCAUGCUGACCUCCUGUCCUCCUCGCCACUGACUUCCCUUCUCUCCGCAGCUUCACGCUGCCCAAAGGGCAGCCCUCUGCCUUCCACCAAUUCCCCCCCUCCUUCUCUCUUCUGCCAAUCCCAUCUAUAUCCUCAUGCUCCUGACCUCCUCCUUAUUUCUUUUUUUUCUAUUUUAUUUUUUUCUGUUGCUGUCCACCACAUUCUCUGCGCCUACUGCGCUCCCAGCUGUCUCUCCUGCUUUCCACUGACUUUUCCCGCUCCCACUUCUCUCUAUCCUCUUUCUGCUGCCGCAAGGCAGCUGUCUGCUUGCUGCUUCUCUCUCCCUUUUUCUGCUUGUUUAUAUUUUUUUUUCUUUUUCCUUUUCCUUCUUUUCCUUUUCCUUUUCUUUUUCUUUUCUUUCUUUUUCUUUUCUUCUUUGCCGUUCCUUUCUUCUUCUACAAAACAUGAAUCAUGAUGAUGUUUCAAACAUCAUCAUGACUUGUUAUUAUUAUUAUAUAUAUAUUUAUUUUUAAUUUUAUUUAAAAGCUGAUCUACACAGACAGUUUUGACGAAUUUAUUACAUAAAAUUUCACUUGUUCUAUUUUUAUUUUCUUUGCAUAACAAAUCCUAUAAACACAAAAAUAACGUAAAUAGCUCAAAAAUAUAAGGAACUAACUAAGAAAAGACGAGUGAAUUCGAAGUAAAAAUAUAUAUAAAUAUCAUCCGAUCAGUCGUUCGUACGCUAGAUGCAAAACGAGAUCCCUUCCGUCCGAAUGAGGAUGAUGAAGAGAUUUUGGAGCCUGAAGUUCCUUAUCUAAGUGCGAUAGGCGCUUUAUUGUACUUAGCUCAAUGCACUAGACCCAGCAUCUCAUUUGCUGUUAAUCUUUUGGCAAGAUACAGCAAUGCACCAACACGCAGACAUUGGACUGGCGUGAAAGACAUCUUCCAUUACCUUAAGGGUACUAUGGAUUUGGGCUUAUUUUAUCCCUACGAAUCCUCGAGUGAUGCCGCACCCUAUGCUCAUCGGGUUGAUUCUCGCCUUGUUGGUUAUGCCGACGCUGGAUACUUAUCUGAUCCGCACAAGGCGCGUUCUCAAACGGGUUAUGUCUUUACCGUUGGAGGCACCGCAAUAUCUUGGAGGUCAACUAAACAGACCUUAGUUGCCACUUCGUCUAACCAUGCUGAAAUUCUCGCCUUACAUGAAGCAACUCGGGAAUGCUUUUGGUUGAGAGCAGUAAUGGGCCAUAUUCGAAGCUCCUGUGAUCUUCAUCCUGCCGUUAAUGCCCCGACGACGAUUUUUGAAGACAACGCAGCUUGCAUCGAACAACUCAAGAAGGGUUACAUCAAAGGAGACAACACCAAGCAUAUUGCGCCGAAGUUCUUCUUUACACAUCAACAACAAGAACAUCAGAAGAUUGAAGUCACGCAAAUCCGAUCACAAGACAAUAUGGCCGACCUCUUCACCAAAUCACUACCGAAGGCGACGUUUCAGAAGCUUGUUCAUGGAAUUGGUAUGCGUAAACUUUCUGAGUUGUAACUUUGCUAUUUCUCUUUGGAAUUAUGUCAAACUCAGGAGGAGUAUCCUCUGGAUACUUGCUUGAUCUUAAUGUAAUUUUUUUCCCUAUGAUUAGGAGCAUUUUUCCCACUGGGUUUUUGCUACCUAACUAGGUUUUAACGAGGCACCCACCUUGGGCUGGUCAUAUCCCUGAUGACGUCCUGUAGAUGUUUCUUUUGACUUUGCAUUUCUCACACAUUUUCCUUAGACUAUGGAUUUUGUCCCUACUCGGGUUUUUGCCAUAGCCUUAGGGUUUUUUAGUGGGACUUACUACUUAUGCAAGUUCCUACCUUAUUGAGAAUAAGCGUUGUUCCUUGGAAUCAAUGCCGACGAGUCAACUUCCUCAACUUCUGCAUGAUACUGAAUCUACCUUGAGUAUUUACACACUCAAGGGGGAAUGUUGUAAACAUUCCUAGUUUAAGUAUGAUUGUGUAAAUCCUAGAUAAGAUUUGAUUCUAGUUAUCCUUUCUUAUUACAACUUGUAUUACUUGGAGGAGAAGAAAUAUCUUCUCUACCUUUACUACUAUAAAUAAAGGCACAAUGUAGGAGGGAUAACAACAUAUACAUUCCCCUACAAUUCUACAAACACACAUCUCUCUCCUCUCUCUCUGCCGCCGGCCCUAGUCUCUCUGUCAGAUAAAAUAGACCACAACAGUUCCUUAGUUUUCAAAAUUUUAUUUUCAUAUUUAGUCUCCUAACAUUGUCCAUGAAAUCACUUUAAUUUUGAGAUUAGAAGUGUCAACGACUCAGCAAGAUUAUUUCGCCAUCGCAAUUCCAGCAGAUUGAUUGGCAAUUAACAUGAAUUGAUUGAGUAGUAUACUAUAUUUUAUAACACAAAUCAAAAGAAAUUAACGAGAAGAAGCAACCCACUAGCAACAGUGCCGAUAAAAGCAAACCAAACGAAAAGGUGUGUGAACAUCCGAGCCAAAGUUACACUCACCUUUCAGGAGAAGCGAUAAGGCGGUGAAGAUAAGUGAAAGCCGAUCCGAACUGCAAAGUCAAUGAUGGAUGAAGCCGAUCCGAAUUGAGGAACUUGGAGGGAAACAUGGAUAAAGGUGGAAGAAAAUAGGGGGAAAAGAUGGAAAAGGUGGAAGGAAGAUAGAUGGAAGGAAACACGGAGAAAAAGUAGUCUUUAAAUUUGUCCCGCCAACAACUUUUUUUUCUAUUUUUUUUAACAAAAACGAUAAUAUCUACCAUAAGAGAGGGGUGUGCCAAAAUGACAAAAAUAUCCUUCAUUUAAUAAACAAUGGGCUAAAAUAAUUUGAUAAAAAAUAAGAGUAUUUUUGUCAUUUUUUCCUUAUUUAAUAGUGAUUUUUCACGGAAAAAUCAAAAUGAUCGAUGGUAAACAAACUCAGGGACUAGUUCUUAGAUUCUAAAUCUCAAGGACCAAAAUGAGGACUUAAAACCAAUCCUAGAGACUAUUUUGACUAAAAAGCCAUUAUUUUACCAAUGACACCAAUUUUAUUAAUCUAGAAAGAGGUGAUUCUAAAUCUCAAAGACUAAAAUGAGGACUUAAAUCAAUCUCAGAGACUAUUUUGACUAAAAGAACCAUUAUUUUACUAAUGACACCAAUUUUAUUAAUCUAGAAAGAGGUGACUCACCAAUUUGAUCUAUCAAACCUAAAAUGAAAAACAACGUAGUUUGGUCAUAGCACAAAAGAACUUGUGGGGUAAACCAAAUAGGUGGAGCAGUGUGUUCGUCUCUUAACACUUAAUUUCAAAUUCCUAUACCUAUAUAUUUGAGUAGUGGAAGUAAACAUUGUAAACCAGAGUGGUCUAACACCUCUUGAUCUGCUAAUCUUCCCGAGUGAAGCCGGCUAUAGGGAAAUUGAAGAGAUCCUUCGUGGUGCCGGAGCUUCGAGAGCACAGGACAUACACCAUACUCCCUCUCAUUGUCCCAUGGAAACAAAUUGUUGAACUAUAAGUAUUUGAGCUGAAAUGUUUUAGAAUAAGUUUUGUUUAAAUUGGUGAAUCCACUUGUGCAGAAUGAGGCAAAGUGUAAAUGUCUAGUUUUGUAAAAAGGCCAUGAGUGCCAUGUGUUGGUAGAUCCAUGAAAUUAGAGAGAUGUGUGUCUAGGAUGAAAUGUAGUAGUUUAUGUGGUCCCAAGUUAAGGACCUUCAGUUAAUGUAAAGCACGUGAGUGCUCAUUUCUGAAAAAAAAAGAAGCAAUUUUCCUCUGUAAAGUUUCUGCAGAGAAAAGAACAAGAAACCGUUCGCUUUCUCCAACCUUUGUUCAUCGUGUGUUUUCUGUACAGCUCCAUCUUCAUCAAAACUCUCAUUGAAAUCAAGUUACACUAACAUGGCCUCAGAGCCAGGUUGGGUCUAACAAUCUGGGCGUAAAUCUGUGAAGCUAUUUUUGAGCUCAAUCGAAGCUCUCUUGAAGCUCCGUGAACGUUGUCGAUUCAGAUCAAAACAUGUCUGGAUCUGGAGGCUCGGAAGUGAGGACUCCAAUUUUCUCCGGUGAGAACUACGAGUUCUGGAGAAUUAAAAUGGCAACGAUAUUCAAAUCCCUUGGGUUAUGGAACCUGGUAGAGAAGGGGAUUGAAACCUCCAAUCCGAAGAAGAAGGAAGCUGGAGAAGCAUCGAAGGAUGAUGAAGAAAUGGUAGCUGUUCUGAUGAAAGACACAAAGGCUUUGGGAAUCAUUCAGAAUGCAGUCUCGGAUCAGAUCUUCCCACGAAUCGCCAAUGCCGAGUCAGCUAAGAUGGCAUGGGAUUUGUUGUACGGGGAGUAUCAUGGUGGUGAUCAGGUACGAUAUGUGAAAUUGCAGAAUCUUAGGAGAGAGUUUGAAUAUGCUAGGAUGAGAGAUGAUGAGUCUUUAUCUAGCUAUCUUACACGGCUGAAUGAGCUAAUUAAUCAAAUGAGAACAUUUGGUGAAUCUCUGUCGAAUGAGAGACUGGUGCAAAAGGUUUUGAUUAGUCUUAGUAAACCUUAUGAUUAUAUCUGUUUGGUUAUAGAAAACACAAAGUGUCUAGAGACUGUAGAGUUGCAGGAAGUAGUUGCAAUCUUAAAAAGUCAAGAACAACGGUUUGAUCUGCAUACUGUUGAUACUACUGGGAAAGCAUUCUCAUCUUUCUCAAUGAGUUCAAAAGAGCAGGAUAGGGGUGAAGGUCAAUCUGGUUCAUCUCGGUUCCAGAAAAAUUGGAAUAACAAGGGCAAGAAAUGGGGUUCAAAACCUAAGUUUCAGCAUAAAUUUCCUGCUAAUCCUGCACAUAAUGCACAGUCAAUGAGGCAGAUAGGUACAAAACCACAGUGCAGGGUAUGUUCUAAGUUUCACUUUGGAGAGUGUAGGUAUAAAGGGAAACCUAAAUGCUAUAACUGUGAAAAGUUUGGUCACUGGGCUAGAGAGUGCACAGUAGGUAAAUUAGUGCAAAAGGCAAAUAGUGCUAAUCAGGUAGAGGUGACAGGGAACCUGUUUUAUGCAAAUAGCACAAUCACUGAAUCAAAAGUGAAUGGAGAAUGGUAUGUAGACAGUGGUUGUAGCAACCAUAUGACAGGGGAUUCUAAGUUGUUGAUAGACAUGAAGACAAAUGUGGUUGGCAAGGUUCAAAUGCCCACAGGGGAACUCAUGAAUGUGGCAGGUUUUGGUACACUUGUGAUAGACACUAGCAAAGGCAGAAAAUAUGUCAAAGAAGUAAUGUACCUACCUGGGUUGAAGGAAAAUCUGUUAAGUGUGGGGCAGAUGGAUGAACACGGUUACUACCUGUUAUUUGGGGGAAAGAUGUGUAGUAUCUUUGAUGGACCUUCAUUGGAUUGUCUUGUACUCAAAGUUGAAAUGAAAAAGAACAGAUGUUAUCCUUUGACACUGAUACAAAAUGAUCAGGUUGUACUGAGAGCAGGUAUUUCUAAGUCUACUUGGAUAUGGCACAAGAGACUAGGCCAUCUGCAUUUUAGAGGUCUUCAACAGCUUAAGAACAAAGAAAUGGUGCAUGGUCUCCCAGUUUUAGAAGAAAUGGAUGAAGUUUGUAAAGGUUGUCAGUUUGGGAAACAGCAUAGAGAGUGGUUUCCAAAGAAUCAAGCGUGGAGAGCAAGUAAACCUCUAGAACUGGUGCAUGUAGAUCUGUGUGGUCCUAUGCAGAAUGAUUCUCUUGCGGGCAACAAAUAUUUCAUGCUUCUUGUAGAUGACUGUACAAGAAUAAUGUGGGUUUAUUUUCUGAAAUACAAGUCAGAUGCAUUGAUCUGUUUUAGAAAAUUCAAGUCCAUGGUGGAAUUACAAAGUGGUUUUAAGAUAAAAUGUUUGAGGAGUGACAGAGGGGGUGAAUUCACAUCUUGUGAAUUCAACAAACUGUGUGAAGAUGCAGGGAUUCAAAGACAGUUAUCUAUGGCCUAUACUCCACAACAGAAUGGAGUGGUAGAGAGGAAGAACCGAGCUGUGGUUGAGAUGGCAAAAGCUAUGCUUCAUGACAAAGGACUACCAUACUACUUAUGGGCAGAAUCUGUACUCACAGCUGUCUAUAUAUUGAACAGGUGUCCUACAAGAGCUCUUGGAGAAGUAACUCCAUUUGAAGCAUUCAGUGGUCGAAAACCUGGAAUUGCACAUCUUAGAAUCUUUGGUUGUCUGUGUUAUGUACACACACCAAAUGAGUUGAGACAGAAACUAGAUGCAAAGAGUGUCAAGGGCAUAUUUGUAGGUUAUGCAACCUGUGAAAAGGGGUACAGAGUGUAUGAUCCUCUUAGUAAAAAGCUUAUACUCUCAAGGGAUGUUGUGUUUGAUGAAAAUGCAGCCUGGGAAUGGAAGACAGCUCCUGAGAACUAUGUAACUGUGUUUAAUCCUAUUGAGUUAUCUGUGCUGCCUAAAUGUAUCUCAUCAGAGACAACUCCAGAGGAAAAUGAUUAUGUUUUGUCACCAAAUCUGGCAUUUUCUCAUGAAUCUGUAAGUGAUGUGGACAGCAGCAUGAAAAUGACUCAAGCCUUUGAUCACACUCCAUUGAAAUGGAGGAAUCUAGAUGAUGUCUUGGCACAAUGCAAUCUUUGUAUUAUGGAACCUGAAAAAUUUGAAGAGGCAGCCAAAGAUGAAGCAUGGAUGAAGGCUAUGAAAGAUGAACUGUCAAUGAUUGAGAAGAAUGCAACAUGGGAUCUGGUGAACAGACCAAGUGAUAAACCCAUAAUUGGGGUUAAGUGGGUGUUCAAGACCAAGCUUAAUCUCGAUGGGACAGUGCAAAAGCAUAAGGCAAGAUUGGUAGCCAAAGGAUAUGCUCAGAAACCAGGUGUGGAUUACAAUGAAACGUUUGCACCUGUAGCUAGACUGGAUACAAUUCGGACUCUAAUUGCUUUGGCAGCUCAGAAAAGUUGGAAAUUAUACCAACUAGAUGUGAAAUCUGCUUUUCUGAAUGGAGUACUCGAAGAAGAAGUUUAUGUAGAACAACCAGAUGGUUUUGUGAUCAAGGGGAGUGAAGACAAGGUGUACAAGCUUUAUAAAGCUUUGUAUGGUCUAAAACAGGCACCAAGAGCCUGGUAUAGUGAAAUUGAUACCUAUUUUGCUCACUAUGGGUUUGUGAAAAGUCAGAGUGAAGCUACUCUUUACAUCAAAGUAAGGGGAGGAGAAAUUCUGAUUGUUUCAAUCUAUGUGGAUGAUAUAGUGUAUACUGGGAAUAGCACUGAGAUGUUGAAGGAGUUCAAGGAAGACAUGAUGACAAAAUAUGAGAUGACAGAUUUGGGGCUCCUUCACCAUUUUCUUGGUAUGGGAGUGAUUCAAACUCACACAAGCAUAUUUAUCCAUCAAAGGAAGUAUGCUGGUUCUUUGUUAGAUAAGUUUGGUUUGAAUGAGUGUAAAUAUGUGUUUACACCACUGGUUUCAUCAGAGAAGCUAUGCAAAGAUGAUGGCAGUGGUUCAGCAAGUGAGGAACAGUAUCGAAGAAUUGUUGGAAGUUUGUUGUAUCUCACAGCAACUCGACCAGAUAUAAUGUAUGCUGCAAGCCUUCUAGCUCGAUUCAUGCACUGUCCUACAAAUAAACAUCUUGGAACAACCAAAAGAGUGCUUAGGUACAUCAAGGGAACUUUAGAUUAUGGUUUAGAGUAUGUAAAGGGAAAGAAUGCAAUGCUAAUCGGAUUCUGUGAUAGUGAUUGGGGAGGAUCUGUUGAUGAUAGCAAGAGUACUUCUGGUUAUGCAUUUUCCUUUGGCAGUGGAGUGUUCUCAUGGGCCUCAGUGAAGCAGAAUUGUGUAGCACUCUCUACAGCAGAAGCAGAGUACAUCAGUGCCUCUGAAGCAACUGCUCAAGCCAUUUGGCUUAGAUUUGUUCUUGAAGAUUUUGGUGAGAUGAAAACUGAAGCAACUCCAGUACACUGUGAUAAUACAUCAGCAAUUGCAAUUACUAAAAAUCCUGUUUUCCAUCAGAAAACCAAGCACAUUGACAGAAGGUAUCAUUUUAUCAAGAAUGCACUCCAGGAAGGGAUAAUCGAUUUGGUGUACUGUCCAACAAAUGAGCAGGUGGCAGACAUAUUUACUAAGGCUUUGUCUAAGGAUCGAUUCAACUAUCUUCGAGAUAUGCUUGGUGUGAAAUCAGCUCAAAACUUAAAGGGGAGUGUUGAACUAUAAGUAUUUGAGCUGAAAUGUUUUAGAAUAAGUUUUGUUUAAAUUGGUGAAUCCACUUGUGCAGAAUGAGGCAAAGUGUAAAUGUCUAGUUUUGUAAAAAGGCCAUGAGUGCCAUGUGUUGGUAGAUCCAUGAAAUUAGAGAGAUGUGUGUCUAGGAUGAAAUGUAGUAGUUUAUGUGGUCCCAAGUUAAGGACCUUCAGUUAAUGUAAAGCACGUGAGUGCUCAUUUCUGAAAAAAAAAGAAGCAAUUUUCCUCUGUAAAGUUUCUGCAGAGAAAAGAACAAGAAACCGUUCGCUUUCUCCAACCUUUGUUCAUCGUGUGUUUUCUGUACAGCUCCAUCUUCAUCAAAACUCUCAUUGAAAUCAAGUUACACUAACACAAAUACCCUUCAGCUGCAGCAGCCAAACGACCCGAUGGAAUACUUCAAGUUCAAAAAGGGCAGAGACUCUCCCAGCGAUGCACGCACGGCGCUGCUAGUUAUUGCUGUACUAGUGGCCACCACCACCUUUCAAGCCGGACUCAGCCCUCCGAUGGGCAUUUGGCAGGACAGCCCUGGAUCAAACAUGAAUGGGACUGGCAGUGGGAGCAAUGAACCAGCGCACACAGCAGGGCAGUCCAUCAUGAGUUCUUACAAGAUAUUAGGAUUUUUCUUCUUUUACACUUCCAACUCGAUUAGACUUUCGUUUUCGCUUUACAUGAUCCAUGUCCUCACCACCAAUUUCCCUCUGCAGUUGGAGCUUAACAUUUGUAUGUUCACGAUGUUCUUGACGUACUGUUCUGCAAUUUCCGAAAUUGGACCGGAGAUCAUGUCCCACCCUGUGUUCGCUUUAACUAUGCCAGCGUUGGUAGCGUUGGUAAGGGUGUGGUAAGCGUAAUGCACCCGCUUAGAUGACCUGCAGUAAAUUGGACUCGAAGGCUCAUUUUAAAAUAGUUGUACAUUACACGUCUGUUUCCAGGAUCAUCGUUGGCGCAUUCAUCAUAGAAGCUCCAGCUUCGUAUCAAAGUCAGUCGUGACUAUCAUAAAUACCGUACAUUUGCUAUGUAUUACUAAAUCUUUGGUGUGGACUUCUUAUAUGAUAUAGCGUUAAGAAUUCAGUACGAAAACAGUAAAACAGAAUUAUUUGCACUAAUUCUUCCUCUUGAUUUAUGAUGGUGUUAGUUCUAUAAGUCGACAUCUUUGCCAGCCGCAAUUGAUACUGCCGUUUGAUACUGCAAAUGAAAGCCCGGUGGAUGCGCAAAAUUUCAAGCCAAUCUUACAGAUUGUAUGAAGAAAGGAACAAUGUAGUUGGUAGCACAGAAGUUUAUAAUCUUCUAGUUGGAGUAAUCUAAUUAAGGCUAUAAUAUUCAUACAGAAGGUUUUACAAAAUGAUCAUCUUUCGACAUGUAUAACAAUGGCGAUCUUUAAUCACAAUGACUUGUACAGCUCGAUCAAAUGAGAAGCAUGGAGGCACCACGUAGGAGCCACGGUGCAGCCCAAACUUUGCAGAUAAGAAAUCUGGUAAUUCACAGCAUAAGAAUCGAAUUACCGGGUCUCCUGACCAUCCUACGUACCAAUGUGCGCACAAGGAAAUGAGUAAGGUAAUCAAAUGCUGAGUCCUGCGUACCUGUUUCGGUGUUGGUUCGGAUGAACCCAUUUAGUUCUCAAUCCGUAACUUCUGGAAAUGCUCCUGAAAGCAUAAAUUUAAGCACAUCAUGAAAUCCCCCUUGCGGGAUUUUCCUUAUUUUUUCUAACUCAUCUUCCCACUCGCGUAUAGUUUUGUUACCAAGAAAAGCUCCCAGGACUUUGAGUGCUAAAGGCAGGCCUUGAGCAUAUUUUACAACACGAUUCGAUAGAUCAUCAUAAUCUCUGGUGGGUUGGUUUUUUCCGAAAGCGUGCUGCCUAAAGAGUUUCAGAGCUCCAGAAUCACUCAAAGUCUUGGGAUUAUAUAUCACAUCAGCUACGCUUAGUAAUUGCGAAUCUCUAGUUGUUAUAAUAAUUCUGCUUCCACCACCAAAGAAAUGUGGCUCUCCAAGUAGAGCUUCAAUUUGUUCUAAUUUGUCCACAUCAUCAACAACAAUAAGAACUUUUCUCUGGCCAAGGCUUUUUAACAUCACCUGAAAACCUUUACUCGAUAUGUCAGAGCUCCCCACCUUGUUGUCCGAGAUACUAGAUAGAAGUUGUGUCUGCAUAAGUAGUUCGCCGUGCUUCAUGAAACCCUCCUUGACAUUUUUAAGAAAGCAACAAGCUUCAAAUCGACAAGCGAUUUUAUCAUAAACAGCAUUAGCGAUGGUAGUUUUACCUAAACCACCCAUACCCCAUAUUCCAACAACUCGAACAUUAUUCGUUUCACCUCCGGGAGGAUAUAAUAAUAAAUGCAUUUCAUGCAUGCGAGAAUCCAUGUCAACCAAGCCAUUAUCUUUGCUUGAUGUUGAUGAGAUGUCGAUCAAUUUCCUAUAAACAUAUUCUACAAUUUCCUCAGUAAGCACCACAUCAUUCCUGUCAAAUUAAAAAAUACAAUAUAAUAACACCACCAAAUAAUAAUUAAUGGGUUUUUUCAUCUGUUAGUUAAAAAAAAAAACAGAAAUUAAAACUAAAAACUAGAUAUUUAUAAAAUUACCGCAAAACGUUACAAAAAUCCCAAAAAUUAAUAGGAAACUAAAACAAAUUAGAAUUUACUCAUAGUUUCGCGAAUCCCAGCCGGAUAAACUGGUGGCAGUUGUAAGAGCGGAUCUCCAGCUCUGAACCUCUUCCAUUUCGGCGUUAGAAUCGCGAUCGUGCUGAGCAAAAGCUUCCGCGAAACUUUUCUUGAGUUUACGAACAUCAGACGGAUCAACUUCAUAGAAAAUGGGGAGUACAAUCUGGUUAUUGGUAUCCUUGCAUUUCAAGAUUUGCACGAGUUCUUUCAAGCACCAAGUGGAAGAAGCAUAGUCUUGAGAGAAAACUACAAUCGAAAGCCUUGACUCUCGAAUCGCUGUCAGGAGCUCAGAAAGGUGGUCGCCUUUUCUGAGCUUCUCGGCAUCAAUGAAGGCGUUGAUUGGUUUCUUAGCCAGAGCGUUGUAGAGAUGGCUGACGAAGCCCCUGCGAGUGUCUUCCCCUCUGAAAUUGAUGAACACAUCGUAUUUGCAACCAAGGCCAGA